GCCCCAGUGGCUCAGUUUGGUAGAGCGGCUGCCUCGUAAGCAGCAGGUCGUGGGUUCAACUCCCACCUGGGGCU
rnacentral:tRNA from 1 species